CAGCCCUGGCUCUCUCGCAUGUCUCCUUUCUGCAUCACAGUGCAAACACUGAGCACGAGCUGUGGGUGGCUUUGGAGAUAUGGAUGGUGCUUGGGCCUUGUGCGUAUGCA
ensembl:miRNA